AAUAAAAUAAAAUAAGAAUAAGAAUAAAAAUAAAAAUUGGCCUAAUUUAGACAAGACUCAAUAAGUUCAGACCUAAACCGAUUAUGGCCCAACGUCAAAUGGGCCCUCAUCAAAACCCAAUUGCAACUCAAAUGGGCCCUCUUGAGAAACCAAUUUCAAGCCCACUGAAUUAAAAUGAUGGGCUGUUUACAUUAAUUUCAGACUUAGAUAGAGAGAACAUAUAUAUGUUCAGGCCCAAAGCAUUUGUGGCCUAAUGCCAAAUGCAACCUGGCAACUCAAAUUAAAUGGUCCCUCUUCAACCCAAUUGCAAAUCAAAUGGGCCUUUUUUAAAACCCAAUUACAAGUCCAUUGAAUUAAAAUGAAUUAUAAAACCCAAUUGCAAACCGAAUUUGAAACUAUAAAAAAUUUCGAAUAAAUGAGGAAUGAGGUGUUUACAGUAAUUUCAAACUCAGAAAGAGAGAACAUAUGUAUGAAAAAGUAGCCGGCAGCUUGGGCUUCGUUGUUGUAAUUCAAUAACUUUUUAAGGUCAAAAGUUAAAUUAUAAAUAAGAUUUGGAAAUUAGUAAUGAAUAACAAUUGUUGUUGUAUCAAAAAUUGGUUAAGAAAUUUGUUAAUUUAAGCAUUGACUUCUAAGAUAUAGAGUAGUGCUAUUUGACCCUACAAGUUUCUCUCUUACUUGUCCCUCGUGAUAUGGUAAAAUUUAUUUAAUGAUGAGAUCGACCAAUUUAUGGUAGGCAAAAUUAUUCAUAAAUACGCUGUUUAAAUUUAAACCAAUGAAAAUUUGUUACAUCAAGAGAGAUAAAUAGUAGGGGCAGUAAGUUCAAGAAACAUUUUCCGUAUAUAUAAUCAUACACUAAUAAUGGAUCCAAUAUAAAAAGAAUAAAUGUGACUAAUGCUUGUAGUUAAUGCCAUUAUAUUGCAGGAGAUUUGCUCAAUUAUGGAGCUUGUAGGGCCAAUUAUUGAUGUGCUGAAGUGCUUAGGAGAUCCAACGUGCAGAUACAUAGACCAUCAUAGAAAACUUGAAGAAAGGAUGAAUGAUCUUCGAGCAGGAGAAGGCGAUCUAAAUAUUCGGAGGAGAGAUAUAGAAUUGACAAUAAAAGCAGAGCUUCGAUGGGGAAAAAUUGUAAAAGGAGAAGUGAAGAAGUGGCUUCUAGAUGUGCAAGAGAUCAAUGAGAAAAUACAGGCCAUGUAUCAAAGAGCGCAAAAUGUGUCUUGUUUUUCACGUGCAUGUCUAGGAAAACGUGUUGCUGAAAUAAUUGAACUAGUGCAGAAAACUUUUGAACGAGGUAAAUUCACUGGAGCUCUAGUAAUUGAUAAUCUAUCCACUGCUGGAGUGGCUGCUGAAUUGGAAUAUUUAGAAGGUGAGACCAUUGUGAAGGAAGAAAUUUGGAACUACUUGAUGGGUAAUGAAAUUGGAAUGAUUGGAGUUUGCGGAAUGGGUGGAAUGGGGAAAACUACUGUCAUGAAGCACAUAUACAAUCAGCUUUUGAAGGAAACUAAAGCUCCGUUUGCCAAUGUGAUUUGGGUCACUGUUUCGAAGGAACUCAACACCACCAAAGUGCAGCAGGUCAUUGCAAAUGCUCUGAAUAUUGCAUCUCUUCCGGAACCUGAACAAGAACGAGAACGUGUAGCAGUAUUAAUGGAAGAAUUGGGAAAAGGAAGAUAUGUAUUGAUUUUAGAUGAUGUUUGGAAAAAGUUCCCUCUCUCGGAGUUAGGGAUCCCUAAACCAACAUCGGGCAAUGGGAGUAAAUUGGUAUUAACUAGUAGAUCUAUUGAAGUUUGUAGGUCUAUGGACUGUGAGAUAGUCAAAGUGCAACCACUUUCAAACGAGGAGUCCAUGAAUUUAUUCUUAGAGCAUGUUGGACGUGGGGUUUUAGAAGUUCCCUCUUUAAAAGAAAUUUUAGGUCCUAUUGUUCGGGAGUGUGAUGGGUUACCCCUUGCCAUUGUUGUACUAGCUGGGAGUAUGAAGGGAAUAUAUGAUGUACAUGAAUGGAGCAAUGCAUUAAGAGAGUUACGUGAACAUGUAAGAACUGUGAAGGGCACAGAUGAGGAAAUAUAUGAACGAUUAAAAUUCAGUUAUGAUCGUUUGGUAGAUUCAAAAAUUCAAAACUGUUUUCUGUAUUGCUCAUUAUAUCCAGAAGACUAUAAAAUUUCAAGGAUGGAAUUAAUAGAACACUGGAUAGAUGAGGGAUUUCUUGAAAUUGGGAGUCGAAAAGUUCUCUAUAAUCUGGGUCAUACUAUAUUAAAUAGGCUUGAAAACAAUUGUUUGUUGGAAAAGGUUGACGAUAGAAAAGUGAAGAUGCACGAUGUACUGAGAGAUAUGGCGUUGUAUAUCAAAGAUCGUAGUCGUUUUAUGGUAAAAGCUGGCAUGGGAUUGAGAGAAUUACCAAGCAAGCAAGAAUGGGCAGAGGAUCUUGAAAAAGUUUCAUUGAUGAGGAACGACAUAUCAGAAUUUCCUCCGGACUUGUCACCCAAUUGUAAGAUUCUUUCAACCUUAUUUUUGCAAAACAAUGAGAACUUACAGUGGAUUCCAGAAUUGUUCUUUCAGCAUAUGCAUGGACUCUGCAUUCUCGAUCUUUCUUUUACCUGUAUUGAGCAACUGCCCGAUUCUGUGUCGAACUUGGAAAAGCUCAAUGCAUUGGUUCUUUUUGGAUGUCACAAGAUGAGAUACGUGCCUUCGUUAGAAAAGCUUAAGGCUCUGAGAAAGUUGGACCUCUGUUAUACAGCUAUUGAAAAGGUGCCUGAUGGUUUGGAAAUGUUGGCAAAUCUAACAUAUCUUAAUUUAUAUACAGAAUGCUUAAAGGAGCUUCCAAUUGCAAUUCUACCUAAGCUUUCUUGUCUGCAGUAUUUGGUAUUCUACGCUGAAUCAAGUACUUUAAAAAUUAAUGGAUCGGAAGCUGCCAGAUUAACAAAACUGGAGAUGUUUGAAGGGAGAUUUAAUGAGUUGAUGGACUUCAAUACGUACAGCCAGUCUAUACAAGGUCAAAGGCUUACUUCUUACUUGCUUGUCAUGGCACCAUUUGAAGCCAAGUUUGACGUCAUGCCACUUGAAGUGGAACGCUCAUUUCUUAUUUACAGACUCGUAAGCGGCGAGGAACUCGAUGACAAAAAAUCAGCAAAAAUACUACAAAUCGUGGCGGGAAUGGAAGGUACGAAAUCUGUGUCCUUAAACAGGGGUAUUAGAGAACUGAGAGUCGAUGGUGAGGUGGAACCUGCCAAAAUUGUAAAGAAAUUGGCAAAGAUAGGUGUCGAGAUCAGGGCUGUCCAGCCGAUGCUUCCAUAUCAUCUGUCCAAGAAAGAUGUGAUUUUAAGUGGGCGCCAGAUAGGAAGAGGAGAUCCUGUAGCACUCCCAAGUGACCUUAGGUGUCUAAGAAUUUUUGAGUGCCACAAUGUGAGAAGCUUAAGCGACAUUUCCUUCUUCCAACAAACAAAUGAGUUGAGGUUCUGUUCAAUUCAUGAUUGUAGAGGGAUAGAAUCUGUGCUUGACUUAUCAUCAUCGCCCUCACCAUGCACCCCAUUUCAGAACCUUGAGCUCUUGUGGCUUGAAAAUUUGGAUAACCUGCAUAUGCUUGUUAAAGUAGGAGAAGCAUGUGUUGUUCCUAUAUGGAGUUCUCUGCCUCGGCCAGGCAUCUUUUCCCAUCUUAAAUCAUUUCAGAUUGAAGGAUGCUCAAACAUGAAGCAUCUCUUUCCAUUUGAGUUAGUACAUGAUCUCCAAAACAUGGAGAAGCUGGUAGUUGGUAAUUGUCGACAAAUGGAGGAAAUAAUAGCAUCAGAAGAAGAGGAAGAAAAUCACAAGGGAAAAGGAACGUAUUCCGCCACAACGUUCACUUUUCCCAAAUUAAGAAAGUUCGAAUUGAAGAAAUUACCCAAGCUAAAGAGCAUCUGUAGUUCAAAUAGGAAAAUGACAUGCGACUCUCUUCAGGAUAUUGAAGUACGGAAAUGUCCGAAUCUAAAAAAGAUGCCUCUAUAUCUUCCUCUUUUCCAAGACACUGACCAACAAUCUUCUCAUCCUUUCAAGAGCAUUCGCGUAUAUCCAAAUGAAUGGUGGAAAUCAGUAGAAUGGGACUAUCCGAGUGCCAAAAAUGUUCUGCAACCUUGGUUGGUACUGGGAUGAAGCAAAGAGCUGCUGGAAGCCAUUCAAAUCAAAUUCCUCAAGCUAAAACAGUUGUUGCCAUUCUGAAGCUAGCAAAGCAGCUGACAAUUUAAUCUUGGAGAAACUCAUCACUGAGGGUUCAUUAAUUCUUCUGUUGUGCUUUUAUCUGCGAUGUAAUACUUCAUCAGAUGAAUCGUUCUUUUGUUGGUUUUAACUGUCAUAAACAUCAAUUUGGUUUUGAUCUGGUUGGACUGUUGAUGUUGCGAUUUUUUUUUUUAGUUAGCGGUUUGGGGGUUUUUGAGUUUUUUGACGUUGUGAUUUAACUUUGAACUUAAGUAUCUUAAUUUUAGUUGGGUGAUUUGGCUAUUUGAAUGUAUUUCAGGAUCUUAUAAAUUAAAGUUAUUCUAAGUUGUUGAUUUGUAGUUAAAUUAAAGUUAUUCUAAGUUGUUGAUUUGUAGUUUGAUAGUAGGAGUUUUGUGGUUGAUUUGUCGUUGACAUGUAGCACUGAUUCUACUGAAUUUAUUUGGCACAUGCUGUUUUGAUUGUCAUUUCUUCGACGGUCAACCUGUAGCUAUUUCAUGCAAACUUUUUUCAGGGAACUGUGCCACUGGUCUGAAGUCCUGUCAAAUCUCUGAUUGUGAGGAUAUGGAAUGAGCAUUUCAGUCAUCCUCAAGUCCACCACCUUAAAUCUUGGAGUUGCAAUUACUCACAGAUUUGGAUAAUGUACUUGUUUUCUACAGG